GUCUAUGGCCAUGCUACCCUGAACAAGCCUGAUCACGUCUGAUCUUGGAAGCUAAGCAGGUUCGGGCCUGGUUAGUACUUGGAUAGGAGACGGCUUGGUUAGUACUUGGAUGGGAGACCACCUAGGAAGACCAGGUGCUAGGCA
rfam:Pteropus alecto contig167930, whole genome shotgun sequence.